rnacentral:rRNA from 1 species
CCUACGGGAGGCAGCAGUGAGGAAUAUUGGUCAAUGGACGCAAGUCUGAACCAGCCAAGUAGCGUGCAGGAUGACGGCCCUCCGGGUUGUAAACUGCUUUUAGUUGGGAAUACAAGGGGGCUCGUGAGCCCCGUAUUGUAUGUACCAUCAGUACAAGGACCGUCUAAUUCCGGGCCAGCAGCCGCGGUAAUACGGAGGGUACGGGAGUUAUCCGGAUUUAUUGGGUUUAAAGGGGGCGUAGGGUGGCUUUUAAGUCAGCUGUGAAAUUCCGUGGCCCAACCGUGGAACUGCAGUUGAAACUGGCAGACUGGAGUGCGUACAGGGAUGGCGGAAUUCAUGGUGUAGCGGUGAAAUGCGUAGAUAUCAUGAAGAACACCGAUGGCGAAGGCGAGUGUCCGGGACGCAACUGACGCUGAGGCGCGAAAGUGCGGGUAGCAAACAGGAUUAGAUACCCCUGUAGUC